UACGUAGGUGGCAAGCGUUGUCCGGAUUUACUGGGCGUAAAGAGCGCGCAGGCGGUCGUACAAGUCGAGUGUGAAAGCCCCCGGCUCAACUCGGGGAGGGUCACUCGAUACUGAUCGACUCGAAGGCAGAAGAGGGAAGCGGAAUUCCCGGUGUAGUGGUGAAAUGCGUAGAUAUCGGGAGGAACACCAGUGGCGAAGGCGGCUUCUGGUCGUGCUCUUUGGACGCUGAGGCGCGAAAGCUAGGUAGCAAACGGG
rnacentral:rRNA from 1 species